UACGUAGGGUGCAAGCGUUAAUCGGAAUACUGGGGCGUAAAGCGUGCGCAGGCGGCUAUGCAAGACAGAUGUGAAAUCCCCGGGCUCAACCUGGGAACUGCAUUUGUGACUGCAUGGCUAGAGUACGGUAGAGGAGGAUGGAAUUCCGCGUGUAGCAGUGAAAUGCGUAGAUAUGCGGAGGAACACCGAUGGCGAAGGCAAUCCCCUGGACCUGUACUGACGCUCAUGCACGAAAGCGUGGGGAGCAAACAGG
rnacentral:rRNA from 1 species